ACAACGAAUACAAGGGGAAGUCCCGUUCCAGGUGUCGAACAUGUAGCCGUUGCCCGUGGAGUUCAUCAAGUUGAGCGUUUCGUUUAGAACUGCAGAGAUACAGCAACAUGAGAUGUCCAGGUUAUCAUCGCGGACGGCGCUCACCUUUUGUGCACCUCCUCCAGCUCCUCCUCCUUUUCCCGUGUGAUUCUUUCCAGCUCCAGGCGAUGCCGGGCCUGCCCUUCCGAAGCCUCGAUCUUCAGCCGCUUGUUCUCUUCUUCUGUUACCACCAGACGCUCUGCGAACUCCUGACGAAUCACAUCCGAUAGGCUCUUCCUCUCCUCGUUUAACCGAUCCGUGAUCUGCAAUUGGUCGGCAAAGAAAAGCGCUCAUUAAAAAA